GGCACCAGCUUCCAAGUCAAAAUCAAGAUCAGCAACUCCAACUCGCCAAAUGUCAACUCCUUCAAGUGCAGCUACUGUGGCUGCUCCUCCCAGUACGCGUUCUUCUUCAGUAUCAAAGUCUGUUCCCACAGCAUUGAAAAAUCCAGUGCCAUCACGUGGCAGUUCUCCUACUGUAAAGUCUAGGCCUUGGAAACCUGAUGAGAUGCCUGGUUUCUCUCAUGAUGCUCCACCAAAUUUAAGAACAUCAUUGCCAGAAAGGCCAGCUUCAGCCUCUAGGGGUAGGCCUAGUGGUGCAAGUGGUCGAUCAUUUUCUGUUGAGGCUGGCUCUAAGGGAAGACCAAGACAACAGUCAUGCUCUCCUGCUAGAGGAAGCACUGCAAAUGGUGGUGCAUAUGGUAGUAGGAUCUCCAUUCCCACUAAGAGCAAAGCACAAAACAAUGGUGGUGAUGAUGUGAACCCAGUACUCAUAGGAACAAAAAUGGUUGAAAGAGUAGUAAAUAUGAGAAAGCUGGCACCACCAAAGCAAGAUGAACAUCACUCUACCCAUAAUAAUUCAGGCGGGAAGUCAUCUUCCCUUGAUAGCACUGGCUUUGGUAGAUCGCUUUCAAAGAAAUCUCUGGACAUGGCUUUGAGGCACAUGGAUAUAAGGCGAAGCAUUGCAGGUAAUCUACGCCCACUCACUAGCAUUCCUGCUUCCUCUGUGUACAGUGUGAGGUCAGGAGGGUCUACAAAAAGCAAGACUAGUGUUCUGGAUUCUCCUCUUGCCACAAGCAGUAAUGCCUCUGAGCCAAGCGUUAACAAUCACUCCCCAUUUGCUGAUGGAAUAGAAAUGGAAGACAAUGACUUUGGAAGUGAAAAAGGAAAUUCUUCUCCUUCGAGUCAACUUGGUAAGUGAUGUAUGGGACCACUAAUUCAAGGUUAACUUUGAUUCUGCAUACUUAAAAUUGCUUCCACCUCUUGUACCUAUGCUUGGAACCUCGUUCAGCUUGGUAUUGAGGAGGCACUUGAGACCUGAAGGAACUAAAAGCAGGCAGGCAGUUUUUUCUUAAAAUCUGUCCGAGAGAAUGUAGGUGCAUGUAUAUUACCAACAUCCUUCAGCAUAUUAAUGGAAGAAUCUGUUUGAUGGAACAGUUUUGUAGGUCAUUGUGCGAACUGUUCUGUAUUAUCAAACUUUUGUACCACUUCAAGCUGUUCUGAAGAGCUCCUUCAGCUUAUACAUUUGUCUGAAAAUUUAUUACUGAAAUAGAGUUUUACUUCUUAAUUUGUACAAGUUUAAAA
rnacentral:misc_RNA from 1 species